CCGUAGCUGGGGUUGCCAUGUGCUGUCGUUGCCAACUCCUGAGAUGAAGUGAUGCCUAAGGAUCAUAACAGGGCUUGUCACUGAAUCUCCAGAUUGGUUGAGUCAGAAGCUCUGGAGGUGGGACCCAGCAAUCUGUGUUUUGAGGAGACUUCCAGAGCAUCUUUCCAGUGGAGAAAUGGCACUCUAAGGAUUGUUUAGCCUUUCACUUUGUCCACAGAGGGCCAGCUCCUGUCCUGGCUGCUCAGCUCACCUUGGAGCCUGCCUCAGCAGCAUCUAUUUGCCCAGGCUCAAAGACCUGCUCGUUCUGGGUCACAUAGCUGUGAAGAAGCGGCACCAGGACCUAUCCUAGAACACAAAAGUAGCAAGGUGUGGGUUUUUAAACUUUUUAAGGAUGACUUCAGGAGUUAGAGUUAGGAUCCAUUACUUUCCUGUGUGAGCUUACCUAGGUCCUGCAAGUAUUGUCUUUCUGUAUAAUGAGGGUGGUAAAAGUACCCACUUUUCAGGAUUAUCAGGAGCAUAAAAGGAGACCCACAUGGAACAUGCUUCUGGAGCCUGGACAACAGGAAAGGUCAUCACCAACUCAACGCCACAUAGCAUCUCCAUGGCACUCCAUGGGUCCCUCUUCUGUGACACUGGGCACAAAGCCUAGACUGUAACUCAUCUUUUCUAUGCACACAUUAACUCUUCAAAUUAAAGGUAAAAGUAUGAAA